UGGGGAAUUUUGCACAAUGGGGGAAACCCUGAUGCAGCGACGCCGCGUGAUUUAGAAGGCCUUCGGGUUGUAAAAAUCUUUUCUAUGGGAAGAAAAUGACAGUACCAUAGGAAUAAGGAACGGCUAAUUACGUGACAGCAGCCGCGGUAAUACGUAAGGUCCGAGCGCUGUCCGAAAUCAUUGGGCGUAAAGGGUACGUAGGCGGGUAAGAAAGUUAGAAGGUAAAUCCUAUAGCUCAACUAUAGUAAGCUUUUAAAACUGCUCAUAUUGAGAUAGGGAAGGGAAGGUGGAAGUCCUAGGGUGGCGGGGAAAUGCGAAGAGAUUAGUGGGAAUACCGAUGGCGAGGGCGACUAACUGGCCAUAACCGGACGCUGAGGUACGAAGGAGUGGGUAGCAAACAG
rnacentral:rRNA from 1 species